CGCGGUAUUUUGACCGUGCAAAGGUAGCAUAAUAAUUAGUUUUUUAAUUGAAAGCUGGAAUGAAUGGUUGGACGAGAAAACUACUGUCUCUGAUUAAUUUUAAUAAAAAUUUAUUUUUAAGUAAAAAAGCUUAAAUUUUGGUUAAAGACGAGAAGACCCUAUAGAGUUUUAUAAAUAGAUGGAAAUUUUAAUUUUAUGAAUUUUUGAAUUUAUUUUUGUUUUAUUUAUUUUAUUGGGGUGAUAAAAAGAUUUAAUUAACUCUUUUUUUAUUAACACAUUAAUUUUUGUUUAUUUGAUCCAAUGUUUUUGAUUACAAGAUUAAAUUACCUUAGGGAUAACAGCGUAAUUUUUUUGGAGAGUUCAUAUCGAUAAAAGAGAUUGCGACCUCGAUGUUGGAUUAAAGUUAAUUUUUGAUGCAGAAGUUGAAAAAUUGAGUCUGUUCGACUUUUAAAACUUUACAUGAUCUGAGUUUAAACCGGCGUGAGCCAGGUUGGUUUCUAUCUUGAUUUUUUUAAAAAAUAUUUUAGUACGAAAGGACCAAAUAUUUAAUAUAUUAUUUUUUUUUUAUGAAUUUUAUUAAUGUUACUUUGGCAGAUUAGUGCGUUGGAUUUAGAAUCUUUUUAUGUGAUUUUUUUACAAGUAAUAUUUGUUUAUACUAGAUUAUUUUUUGGUUUUUUUUAAUAUAAUUUUGUUGAUUAUUUUUGUUUUAGUUGGAGUUGCUUUUUUUACUUUAUUGGAACGUAAGGUUUUA
rnacentral:rRNA from 1 species